AGCAGUAGCACGGUAAUACGGAGGGUGCAAGCGUUAUCCGGAUUUAUUGGGUUUAAAGGGUCCGUAGGCGGACUUAUAAGUCAGUGGUGAAAGCCUGUCGCUUAACGAUAGAACUGCCAUUGAUACUGUAAGUCUUGAGUAUAUUUGAGGUAGCUGGAAUAAGUAGUGUAGCGGUGAAAUGCAUAGAUAUUACUUAGAACACCAAUUGCGAAGGCAGGUUACCAAGAUAUAACUGACGCUGAGGGACGAAAGCGUGGGUAGCGAACAGGAUUAGAUACCCCAGUAGUCCCUGUCUCUUAUACA
rnacentral:rRNA from 1 species